UAUGAAGGGGGCUAGCGUUGCUCGGAAUCACUGGGCGUAAAGCGCACGUAGGCGGAUUGUUAAGUCGGGGGUGAAAUCCUGGAGCUCAACUCCAGAACUGCCUUCGAUACUGGCGAUCUUGAGUCCGGGAGAGGUGAGUGGAACUCCGAGUGUAGAGGUGAAAUUCGUAGAUAUUCGGAAGAACACCAGUGGCGAAGGCGGCUCACUGGCCCGGUACUGACGCUGAGGUGCGAAAGCGUGGGGAGCAAACAGG
rnacentral:rRNA from 1 species